rnacentral:lncRNA from 1 species
UGCCUUCUGUCUUCUCAAGAAACCUCAGUCGUUCCUGUGACUCCAUUCUGUUAGCCACACAAUGGCAUCCAGAGCUAAGUGACAAGAUGCAGUUUCCUCAGAAAGCCAAGAGGAAAAAAAUGGUAUUCAUAAUGUCCUAAAACUUAAUGUCUUGUUCUAGAAAUGGCCUUUUUCAAACUCAUCAUCUUCCAGAGCCCCGCUGCACCUUUGUUUUGCUUUUAACAACCACUGUAUGUCCAGGAAGAAGCAACUAUAUGUAGACAAAGAUUCUUCUUGAUACAGUUGAAAUUAAUUCAACAAAUU